rnacentral:rRNA from 1 species
GACGAACGCUGGCGGCGUGCUUAACACAUGCAAGUCGAACGGAAAGGCCCUGCUUUUGUGGGGUGCUCGAGUGGCGAACGGGUGAGUAACACGUGAGUAACCUGCCCUUGACUUUGGGAUAACUUCAGGAAACUGGGGCUAAUACCGGAUAGGAGCUCCUGCUGCACGGUGGGGGUUGGAAAGUUUCGGCGGUUGGGGCUGGACUAGCAGCUUAUCAGCUUGUUGGUGGGGUAGUGGCUUACAAAGGCUUUGACGGGUAGCCGGCCUGAGAGGGUGACCGGCCACAUUGGGACUGAGAGACGGCGCAGACGCCUACGGGAGGCAGCAGUGGGGAAUAUUGCCCAAUGGGCGGAAGCCUGAUGCAGCAACGCCGCGUGCGGGAUGACGGCCUUCGGGUUGUAAACCGCUUUCGCCUGUGACGAAGCGUGAGUGACGGUAAUGGGUAAAGAAGCACCGGCUAACUACGUG